rnacentral:lncRNA from 1 species
UAGGAGUAGUGUAAGACUGGAAGAAGGAAACCUCAUGAAUGGAUCUGAUGUAGUUUGGACAAAAGAUGCUGGGGGAGGACUACAGAGGAAGAAGUGGUAUUUAGCACAGCGUGAAGGCAGAAGACGGCUCACAAAUGCUGGCUCAUUUCAACAGUGUCACACAAUGGAACUGUUCGGAAGGUUCUGGCUACUAGAAAUUCCCAGUAAACACCAAGCACAGUGGUAGAAGGUGACUUUCAGUAGUAAGUUUGAAUUAUUUAUCUCUGUUCCCUAAGGGCAGGUGCUUUCAGAACAGUAAUCCUGCUACAUGAGUACUAGGAGAAGCUGGGUUUCUAAUCAAGCUAAAAAGCACAAGCAUGAACACAGCAUGAAGCAGGAGAUGUGCAACCAUUUAAUGUAUCACUUCCGGGGAAUUAAGAAAUGAUAACUUGUUCUGCUUUACAGAGCACUAGCUUGGGUUCUUUGCUACCCUGCUUCAUAGGGUCAUAGAAUCAUAGAAUCCUUUGGACUGGAAGGGACAUUUAAAGGUCAUCUUGUCCAACUUCCCUGCAAUGAGCAGAGACAUCCACAGCUUUAUCAGGUGCUCAGAGCCUGGUCUAGCCUGGCC